UGGGGAAUAUUGCACAAUGGAGGGAACUCUGAUGCAGCGACGCCGCGUGAACGAAGAAGGCUUUCGAGUCGUAAAGUUCUUUUAUAUGGGAAGAUAAUGACGGUACCAUAAGAAGAAGCCCCGGCUAACUACGUGCCAGCAGCCGCGGUAAUACGUAGGGGGCUAGCGUUGUCCGGAAUCACUGGGCGUAAAGGGUUCGCAGGCGGAAAUGCAAGUCAGGUGUAAAAGGCAGUAGCUUAACCACUGUAAGCAUUUGAAACUGCAUAUCUUGAGAAGAGUAGAGGUAAGUGGAAUUUUUAGUGUAGCGGUGAAAUGCGUAGAUAUUAAAAAGAAUACCGGUGGCGAAGGCGACUUACUGGGCUCAUUCUGACGCUGAGGAACGAAAGCGUGGGUAGCAAACAGG
rnacentral:rRNA from 1 species